rnacentral:rRNA from 1 species
AGCAGUAGCCACGGUAAUACAGAGGGUGCAAGCGUUAAUCGGAGUUACUGGGCGUAAAGGGCGCGUAGGCGGUUAUAUAAGUGAGAUGUGAAAUCCCUGGGCUUAACCUAGGAACUGCAUCUUAUACUGUAUGGCUAGAGUAUUGUAGAGGGUAGUGGAAUUUCCGGUGUAGCGGUGAAAUGCGUAGAGAUCGGAAGGAACACCAGUGGCGAAGGCGGCUACCUGGACAAAUACUGACGCUGAGGCGCGAAAGCGUGGGGAGCAAACAGGAUUAGAUACCCCUGUAGUCCCUGUCUCUUAUAC